rnacentral:rRNA from 1 species
UACGAACCGUGCGAACGUUGUUCGGAAUCACUGGGCUUAAAGGGCGCGUAGGCGGGCUCCCAAGUCUGGGGUGAAAUCUUUCGGCUUAACCGGAAAAGUGCCUCGGAUACUGGGAGCCUUGAGGGAGGCAGGGGCGGAUGGAACUUCCGGUGGAGCGGUGAAAUGCGUUGAUAUCGGAAGGAACGCCGGUGGCGAAAGCGAUCCGCUGGACCUCUUCUGACGCUGAGGCGCGAAAGCCAGGGGAGCAAACGGG